CUCCCCUCUCCGGGAACCGCGCUCCGGCUGCUACUAAUUCAGGGGAGGAUGUCAACCAGACUCUGCAGUGACUUGCAACUUAGAAGACAGGUAAUUCUAGAGCAUGUUUGAUACGACAAAGGAAGAGAACAGUGGACCUAGGCUGCAAAUGGAGCUCAGAAGUGGAAAGGCACCGGGCCUUCGAUGGAGUAUUUCACUGAGAGCAGUAGGUGGAGCGCACAGGAUGGUACAGAAGCACGUGCCUUGCUCUUUGGUGGUUGGAAGGUUGCUGAGAGUUUUUUAUCACGAAUAGAUGUUGAAUUUUGUCAAAUGCUGUUUUUGGAAGCUAUCAAGAGCUGCCACCCUGCUCCGUCUGCUGUCUCCAGGGUCUCCAGGUCUCCCUCAGCCUCCACACUCAGCUUUUAGCACGUUAUUACAAGUAUCUAGCUGAAGCUUCUUAUUGACUCUACAGCCUCUGACAAUAUCUGCCCCAGAUUUUGUGUCUAAACUGAGAAUCAUGCAAAAUGAUUGUUACUGCACUUCCGUCCUGUGAAAGGCAGGCAGGAAACCGCCCCUCCCAGGGUGGGGAGAAACCGGUGGACCCCCGCAGCCCAGCACCCCAUCUAGUUGAUGGAGAUGAAGGGAGGAGCUGCUGAAGCAGAGGAAGCUGUGCGCAUGCGUGCCUCGGUGGGGGCGGAAUCGGGAGGGACGGAGUGAUGGAGCGCGAUGCUGACAAAAGCAUCACUUGUCACGUAUGGGGCAUGCCCUAUGCAGGAGCAGUGUUCUAAGCACUGUAUAUGAUGGUCUCAUUUGAUUUCAACAACCCAAUUAAAGGA